GGAGUCGGUCGCGGUCGGUGAUGUCGCCUGAGAUGUGGUACGGCAGACCGCAGUUUGCGAAGGAGAUGUACGGGCCGCGUUCGAACAUGAUGAUCUCGGCGGAUUCGGAAAGCCGUCUUGCUCGUGCUGCUGCUGAGGCUCCGCCGGCGACGCCGC
rnacentral:antisense_RNA from 1 species